rnacentral:lncRNA from 1 species
GAAAACCUCCGAUAUGACACCGGAGCAGCUAGAAAUCCACAUGGAACGGGUGGCGGCGAUUCUAGCUCGGCAAAUGGGUGGUGGAAAUUAGCUAGUUUUUUUUAUGUAAUUUUUCAUUAUGUUUUUAAUUUUUUUUAUGUAAUUUUUAGAUUUUUUUUAAUUAAUGACAUUUUAAUUUGAAGUAAUUGUGAUAUUUACAUUGGUGCAAUUUAAAUUGAAUGACGACCGCCUCCCUCCAUCUCACUGCCCAACCGUCUCCCUCCACCCUGGCGCGACGCGGCACUGGUUAUCCUCCUCCUGCAGGCGCGGCACUAGUUCAUAUUUAAUUUUUUUUUUCUACUUUUUCCUUUUUCACUCUUUCUUUUUUUUUAAAAAAAAAAGGAAUAGACACACAUUUUUUUUCUUCAUUUUUCGGUAACUCUUUCCUUCAUAAAAUAUGGAAUAUUAUCUUAAAUGAAAGAUUUGAAAAUACUUUUAAUUCAACA